rnacentral:rRNA from 1 species
ACGCUGGCGGCGUGCUUAACACAUGCAAGUCGAACGAAAAGAGGGGAAGAGCUUGCUCUUUUCAGAAUUGAGUGGCAAACGGGUGAGUAACACGUAAACAACCUGCCUUCAGGAUGGGGACAACAGACGGAAACGACUGCUAAUACCGAAUAAGUUCUAAGAGCCGCAUGGCCCAUGGAAGAAAAGGUGGCCUCUACCUGUAAGCUAUCGCCUGAAGAGGGGUUUGCGUCUGAUUAGCUGGUUGGAGGGGUAACGGCCCACCAAGGCGACGAUCAGUAGCCGGUCUGAGAGGAUGAACGGCCACACUGGAACUGAGACACGGUCCAGACUCCUACGGGAGGCAGCAGUGGGGAAUCUUCCGCAAUGGGCGAAAGCCUGACGGAGCAACGCCGCGUGAGUGAUGACGGCCUUCGGGUUGUAAAACUCUGUGAUCCGGGACGAAAAGGCAGAGUGCGAAGAACAAACUGCAUUGACGGUACCGGAAAAGCAAGCCACGGCUAACUACGUG